rnacentral:lncRNA from 1 species
UCUAACCUAAUUCAUUUAACACCUUGCCCCACCGCCCUGAAAAACCCUUUGCUCUCAAAUACUCUCCACCUAACCCUCAUCUCCAAUCUCACUGACCUUCAUAUAUGGCUAUAUCUGGUGGUUUAUCACCAUCUCUCAAGCCUAUAAUGGCCUCGCUCAUGUCAUUAUUGCCAUCUCUAAGGCCCUCAAGGGAUCAGGACCAUGUCGACAUGCAUAUUGGAUUCAUCUCUAGUAUGUUCCAGGCCAUUCCGAUGUGAUUUCGAGUGAGAUCGUCCUAUAUUAGCUACAAUCUAUAGGGUUUUUAGUAUGUUUCUUCAUCUCUAUAUGGUUCGCUUCAAAACCCUAAUUUUUUUUCUAAAUCUCCUAGAUCUGUACAAACCUAAGGUGAUUUGAGUUUGCUUCCUGUGAGUUUUACAAUAGCCUU